GGGGAUGUCACUUUCUUACAGCCAGUCUUUGAGCUGUUUACUGCCAAUGCCUUGGAUUUUGGUUUUCUAAUCAAAGCAAAACUAGUGAAAUGCUGGUGAUUGGAGCCUCUGACUCCUCAUUGGUCCUUCUGGAUUUCUCAUUGGUCCUCCUGGCCUCUCACAUAUUCAUGGCAUCUUCAAAAAAAAACAGUUGAGAGUUUCAUAAUUCACUCCAACCAUUUGUCUCUUGUUAUGUGCUCUCAAACAUUUGUGACCUAUUUCUAGGGACCCGGAAACUUGUCUCCAGUGAAAACUUUGAGGUUUAUAUAAAAGCACUGGGGGUCCAAACCAACAUCAGGUCCUACAGAAGAAUUGCAGCACCACCGUUAUCAAAAUAAACUCAGCCCAUUCUAUAUAAUCAACCUAUGUGGAGAUGAUGUGGCAGUAAAGAACCCUGCUUAUGGC